UACGGAGGGGGCUAGCGUUGUUCGGAAUUACUGGGCGUAAAGCGCGCGUAGGCGGCUUUGUAAGUUAGAGGUGAAAGCCCAGGGCUCAACCCUGGAAUUGCCUUUAAGACUGCAUCGCUUGAACAUCGGAGAGGUAAGUGGAAUUCCGAGUGUAGAGGUGAAAUUCGUAGAUAUUCGCAAGAACACCAGUGGCGAAGGCGGCUCACUGGCCCGGUACUGACGCUGAGGUGCGAAAGCGUGGGGAGCAAACAGG
rnacentral:rRNA from 1 species